AUUAGCUGCGGAGAGAAAGAAAGGUCCCUCUGUUUUAUGCAUGAGGAGCUGUGCCUAAGGACUCCAGCCGCUUGGUGCCCGCAGCCCACCUUCUCCUCCUCCCAGCCGGGAAGCUGUCGCAGCAGGAGGAGAUCUCCCAGGAAGGUUCAUCAAGGAAGAGGGAAAAGAGCAGCCUGCAGCUCCAGGUGGUCCCCCCCGCCCCCGGCAGGCCCUCUGGAGGGAGGUGGAGCUGUAACCAGCACUGGCAAAACUGAAUUUUAAAAGUUAGCUGCUUGAAGAUGUUUUCAAGAGAAGUCAGGGAAUAAAUGAAGAAAGAGGAAGAUUCAGGAAACUGAAUCCAAGCUAGAAGAAGAAUCAAGGAAAACGCCAAGAUUUCUGUGUCAUCUCAGAUCUGGAUGGGUCUGUCCAGCUAAUCCAAAUUGGCCUGGGCCUUGUCAUUUUCAGGACUGAAAGUCUUAUUUCCUGGGAAACCCAUCAGACCAAGCAAUUAAAACUGGAACAAGAGGAAUAAAGAUUCUACAAAGGGAAGCUCCCGAGGUGCAUAGGUAUUCUAUAGAAACACAAUAUGGUGGAGAUUCCAUGGAGCGUGUAAUGCAAAUAAACAAAAUAAAGGGCUGGGGAUUUAGCUCAGUGGUUCCACCACCUAGCUUGAAAGGACAAGGUCCAGA